rnacentral:rRNA from 1 species
GUGGCGAACGGGUGAGGAACACGUGAGAAACCUGCCUUUCAUUUUGGGAUAACUCCGGGAAACCGGGGCUAAAACCGGAUACUCCGUCUCUGCGGCAUCGCAGAGCCGGGAAAAAAUUUUGAUGAAAGAUGGUCUCGCGGCCUAUCAGCUAGUUGGUGAGGUAAUGGCUCACCAAGGCGACGACGGGUAGCCGGCCUGAGAGGGCGACCGGCCACACUGGGACUGAGACACGGCCCAGACUCCUACGGGAGGCAGCAGUGGGGAAUAUUGGGCAAUGGGCGCAAGCCUGACCCAGCGACGCCGCGUGAGGGAUGAAGGCCUUCGGGUUGUAAACCUCUUUCAGUAGGGAAGAAGCGAAAGUGACGGUACCUAAAGAAGAAGCACCGGCUAACUAUGUGCCAGCAGCCGCGGUAAUACAUAGGGUGCAAGCGUUGUCCGGAAUUAUUGGGCGUAAAGAGCUCGUAGGUCGUUUGACACGUCGAUUGUGAAAAUCUGAGGCUCAACCUCAGACCUGCAGUCGAUACGGUCAAACUAGAGUGUGGUAGGGGAGACUGGAAUUCCUGGUGUAGCGGUGGAAUGCGCAGAUAUCAGGAGGAACACCAAUGGCGAAGGCAGGUCUCUGGGCCAUAACUGACACUGAGGAGCGAAAGCGCGGGGAGCGAACAGGAUUAGAUACCCUGGUAGUCCGCGCCGUAAACAGUGGGCACUAGCUGUGGGUCCCUUCCACGGGAUCCGCGACGCAGCAAACGCAUUAAGUGCCCCGCCUGGGGAGUACGAUCGCAAGAUUAAAACUCAAAGGAAUUGACGGGGCCCCGCACAAGCAGCGGAGCAUGCGGCUUAAUUCGACGCAACGCGAAGAACCUUACCAAGGCUUGACAUA